AGUCGGCUGGGGAGAAAGGGGUUUGGCACGGUGCAAAAAUGUCUCUCCUUUCUCCUCCUAG
rnacentral:pre_miRNA from 1 species